UACGGAGGGUGCAAGCGUUGUCCGGAUUUAUUGGGUUUAAAGGGUGCGUAGGCGGCCCUGUAAGUCAGUGCUGAAAUAUCCCAGCUUAACUGGGAGGGUGGCAUUGAUACUGCGGGGCUAGAGUACAGAUGAGGUAGGCGGAAUUGACGGUGUAGCGGUGAAAUGCUUAGAUAUCGUCAAGAACACCUAUAGCGAAGGCAGCUCACUAGGCUGUAACUGACGCUGAGGCACGAAAGUGUGGGGAUCAAACAGG
rnacentral:rRNA from 1 species